AUGGAUAAGGUCACACCCGAGCCCCUGGACAUAACCCUAGCGCCAUUCCCUCUUUCCCUCGCUCGUUCUCUUCGCGGCAAACACACACCCGAAACCACCACGCCAUGGCCAUCGUCGUUGUCGCGGCCACUGACCUCCCCGCCAUCUUGGAAUGCGCCAAGAGAAUCGCCAUCGUCUGCUGCUUCCUCUUCGUCCAUGACCUCGAGCCCGGAGUCCCUGCAUCGCGUGGAUCGGGCUGCUUCAUCGUCCUCGGCCACCGCUGCCUCCGCCAUGGAUCCGCGCCACCGCACAUCCUCGAACCACCCGAGCACGUCUCCGACCCCAUCUCGACCACGAGACUGCCGGCGACCCCCAGUUCGUCUACGGUGUUGA
rnacentral:rRNA from 1 species